UGAGGAAUAUUGGUCAAUGGGCGCGAGCCUGAACCAGCCAAGUAGCGUGCAGGAUGACGGCCCUAUGGGUUGUAAACUGCUUUUGUAUGGGGAUAAAGUCAAUCACGUGUGAUUGUUUGCAGGUACCAUACGAAUAAGGACCGGCUAAUUCUGUGCCAGCAGCCGCGGUAAUACGGAAGGUCCGGGCGUUAUCCGGAUUUAUUGGGUUUAAAGGGAGCGUAGGCCGGAGAUUAAGUGUGUUGUGAAAUGUAGACGCUCAACGUCUGACUUGCAGCGCAUACUGGUUUCCUUGAGUACGCACAACGUUGGCGGAAUUCGUCGUGUAGCGGUGAAAUGCUUAGAUAUGACGAAGAACUCCGAUUGCGAAGGCAGCUGACGGGAGCGCAACUGACGCUUAAGCUCGAAGGUGCGGGUAUCGAACAGGAUUAGAUACCCUGGUAGUCCGCACAGUAAACGAUGGAUGCCCGCUGUUGGUACCUGGUAUCAGCGGCUAAGCGAAAGCAUUAAGCAUCCCACCUGGGGAGUACGCCGGCAACGGUG
rnacentral:rRNA from 1 species